UUAACCUCAACUUCGUGCCAUUCAUCCACCAGCACAUUCGCCGGUACCUUUACUGUUCUCAAAUGAUUUUUCAAAAUUUCUCUUCUCUCCCAAGAUCUCGGCCAAGGCUGAAUGCCGAGUUCGUUGACUAAUCUCCGACCGAGGAAUUCUAUGUCUCCCUCGGUCAUUCCCUCAAAUUUCUGUCCUGGUCUCGGCCUUGUUUG
rnacentral:lncRNA from 1 species